UGGAUCAGCUCUAGGGGAAGCCAGCUGCCAUGUUGUGGGGAUGCUCAAGGAGCCCUGAGGAGAGGCCCAUGUGAUGAGGAGCUGAGAGGACUUGGGCCAAAAGCCAGUGGAGAAUUGAGGUCUCCUGUCAGUAGCCAUACACCUUGCAUCACAGAUAGUUGGAGAUGAAAAGGACCUUAGAAACCAUGAGAAACACCAUGGGCCAGGAGAAUGGGGAGCUCUGGAGCCAUAAACCUGGCUUCAGGUCCCAGUUCUGCCACUCACCAGCUGGGUGGCCAAGGACAGCAUUUUUCAGAGAACAGGAGGGAGCUGCUUCCUUAAGUAUCGCCUGGGAUCACAUUCAGACUGGAGAUGUUGCCAGAAGCAAAUCCACCUCAGUGGGGAUUCUGGUUGACCCAGGAGACCCUCUGCUCCUGAGGGAACUACUGAGGGGCUUGGGCUAUGACUCCAGGACCAAGAGUUUUGGGAGAGACUUUCCUUCCCUGGACAAGGAAAAGGAAGUGGAGCUACCAGCUGCUGCUCUGGGAGGCUAGAGGCUCAUCUCUCUACCAUGCACCCUUUCCAAAGCUCUGUUCUCUGAGGGCUUCUGGAAAUACCCGCUUUAAUCAGAGUUAAGCCGGAUUUGAAAGUUGAGAUGAUUAGAUGUGUCAAAAAAAUUUUACAGUCUAAUAACACCCAACGCUGUCAAGAAUGUGGAAAAAAAGAGACAUGUAUGCAUUGUU